GGUACAAAAUUUAAGUUAUAUUCUUAGAGUUUCAAAAUUUUAACACGAUUUUUAUUCGCUUAGCUUCAGUGGUUUACCUUUACACUUUCAAAAAAUACACGAAAUGUCCAAUUUACUGUAUUGGCGGUGUUCACGAUCCCUAUACACGUAUUUGUCCAUCAGGUACGCUGGCCACCGCCCAUUGGCUCCGAUGAUCCGACACUUUCAUGAUGAUGACUCUGGGCACAAAGACACCAAGAAGAAUAUGCGACCGCGAGUAGCGAACAAGGAUGAAAAAAUUUCCACUGACCUUAAACUCGUAGAUUCUAAGUCCAAACAGAAGAUAGCUACGGGAACUGCACCCAAGCUAUCCAUUGAACAGGAAAUGAAGGCACUGGGCCACGUUGUUGGCAGCAAGCAGAAUAUUAAAGAUACAAUCAGUCUUAAGAGCCACAUUCACGCAAAUACAACGCCUAAAUCGACAGACGCUAAGAGUUCAUCGAAAUCUAGCCAAACGGUUGGAGAUCAAUCUAAAGACACAUCUGUUAAGUGUGGGUCGAAUGCGAGUGCCGUGGAAAGCAGGGUUAGGGCAUUUGUUGAUUCAAUUGAAAGUAAGAAAGCUUCAAAUCGAAAACCUGUUCGGAGCCAGACAGAUGAAGGGGCCUUAAGGACUACUGAAAAGCAAGAUAAAUCCUCAAGUCCCGUAACAACCACCGCCAAUAUAAACGCUGUGACUAAGCUAACAGAUAAAUGCUCUCAAGCUUCGCAGACCGAAUCGCAAAAAGUUUCAAGCAUAGAGGGUGGUAAAACAGAUUUAAAAACUUGGUCCUCAUCCCAGUCAGGAGUCGGUAACACCAAUCUUUUUGACGGGAAACCAGAACCGUCUCAAACGAAGAUGUCGCAAAAACGUUCCGAAUCUGCAAGGAAUCUAGCAGAUAAAAACAUGGGCUUUAAAAGUGACCCCCAAAUUCCAUGGGAGGGAAUGUUUGGAGAGCUUUUUAAGACUAGUGCUAAGGGGUCUGUCGAAGGAGGAACGAAUGGAAUUGGUUCUAAGGAAGGAAGGUCUCAGUCGUUGCUCGUGGUUAGCUCUAAACAAAAUAGUAAAGAUCAACAUAAUAAAAACCACAAGUUAUCUCAAGUGGAAGCGAAACCAGAGACUGCGCAAACUAAAAUCCAAUCUGCAGGAGAUAGAAAUAUCCAGCAAAGUAUUAGCAAGACCAAACCAGAGCCAGAUCAAUCUCUAACUAAGGGUGCAAGGAGCAAUAGCCUAGGCAGUGUAGUACAAAAUCCACCCAAAAUGGAAGCUCCGAGUACCGAAAUCAAAAACAAAACGAUACUAAAUCCAUGGAAAACGGAAACCUCCAGCAGCAAUAGCAUGGACAAAGCGAAAUCAAAUCAAGCCCAAACAAAAGACCCGAGAUGCAAUAACGCCAGCAAAACGGGACCUGAAUUAGCUGUGGAAGGCAACUCGGCAUUAAAAUCUGCGGUUCUUCAAAAGGAAAAAUCAAAUACCUCCUUCAAAUUUGAGCACAAGAUUUCUAAGCCCGUUCAGAGUCAGACAGAAAUCAAAACUGCAGUAAUUAAAGAUGACGAAGCAUUAAAGGACGUACUUAAGGGCUCGAAUAAGCACGACGAAUGGGUUGCUAAGAUUCUUUCCCCUCCAAAUAAAGGUUAUGAAUCCUCAAAGAUCAAAUCGAAUACCGCCUAUAAAAUUGAGGAUGGGUUUUCUAAAGCUAUGCCCCAUCAGAAUAAGUCGGACAACAAAUUUGCACCGAGCAGAACGGAUGAAGCUUCAAAGGACAAAUCCAAAAUCCAGUCAGAAAUCAAAUCCACAGCAACUGAAUCUGAGAAGGGCUCAAAAGAUAAAUAUAGCAGUAUAUUUAAAGCCGAUGAUGGAUUUUCCAAAGCUACACCAUAUCAGAAGCAGCCCGACAACAAAUCUGCACUAAACAAGCCAAGCUCCAAAUUUGACGAAUCAAAAAAUAAAUCAAAUUCCAUCUACAAUGUUAAGAGCUGGAAUUCUGAAGUUAAACAAUCACAGAACCAGUUGAUCAAGAAAUCCGGUGCAAUGAAACCUGAUGAGGCCUCAAAAGACACGCCUAAGAGCUUUAACAAAGAUGGAGAAAGGUUUCACAAAUUGAAACCCUCUCAGAGUCAGUCCGACAAUAAGCCCUCGGCAGACAAAUUGGAUAAGACCCCGAAGAACAAAUCAAAUAGCAUUUAUAAAGUCACAGAUUUGUCUUCUGAAGCCCUGCCAAACCAGUCAACCAACAAACAUGGAGCUAACAAAGUGGAUGAGGCUUCCAAUAAGGACCUCUCUACCCCUAAAGAAACCAGUAACAAUUUGCUGGAGUCGUUCAGUGCCGUAAGAUCUGCGUCCAUUUCCGAUAGAAAAUUCUCGGGUGAUACAAUCAAGGCUGAAAAAAUUGAGUUGCUCUCGGCGGAUACUGUGGAGGAAACAGCCUUCAAGACUCGAUCAAAGUCGGCUUAUACUCAGGAUGGCAUCAACUCAGAUUUAAAAUAUCGGUCUAGUACCGAAAAACCCAAUUCCUAUGACAGGAAAGCAGAAAUUCAGCAAUCUGCAAGGCCGCAGUAUGGUCUGAAAUAUGCGCAGAAAACAAAGUCAACUGCGUUUAGCUCUAGUCAAAAAUCGAAUAGGGGCACGAUUGGUUCGCUUUUGCAAGCUGUUCGCCAGAUUCCAUUGAAGCAAGAAAAGGCAGCCAAAGGCCAUAAAGAACAGGUCGUAAAUAUACUAAAGGAAAAGAUCAAGGAAGAGAAAAAAAAAGCGGAGUUCCUUGAAAAUGUAGCUGACGAGCUGCGAUCUAGACGUGAGGUCGACACCACCCCAGUGAAAGAAAAUAAAAUGAGUCCAAUGAAAAGUGGGGAUGCGCCUUCUACAGCUCGCACUGAAACAACAAGCGGUGCCAACUCAAUGGAUAAGUCUUGUUCUGAUCGGGAACUUACUGCAACCAUUGCAGCAGCAAUCGUUAAGGGUAUAUCAGAGAGUUCUGCAACCUCUAAGGAGAGUGAUACAAUUGCAGGUAAAGGUAUGCCAAUAGUAUCGCUUCAAGACCUGAAGGCUUCUGGACAUCGUGAUUGUCAUUUAACGUCCGCAUCGAUGGGUAAUUCUAAUGCAGGCAAAACUUUGACAUCUUAUGGCAAAACAGAGCUCAUUGGCACUGAUGAGAGCCGGAUUGGUGGCAAGCGUGUGAUGAAUGCAGAACCCGAUUCAAAGAAAAUGGAUAAGAAAUUCCGCACCGAUCUAACUGUAGAUAAAGGUAGCGAUAAUAAAAUUUCUAAGGACAUCACUUGCAAUGUGAGAGACAAAUCGACUGAAAAGACACAUAAAAUCAAGGCUGAAGAUAUAACACCUGGUGUCCUUUACAAUUCGACAACAGAGGGUGAGAAUCGCGACUUCUCAACAAAUAUAAAUAUUGAAGACGAUGAUGAAACGUUAAGAUUUAAGGCCGAACAAUUUUUAAGAGAAAGUGAAGCUCGACAGAUUCUAGAGAAAACUAAACAUAUAAAUAUCGAAAAACUAGGUGUCGAUAAGCUAAAUGUCCAUAAGCUAGAUGUCGAUAAGCUAGAUGUUAAUAAGCGAGAUGUCGCUCAACUAGAUGCUGCUAAACUAGAUGCCGAUAAGCGAGAUUUCGCUAAACUAGAUGUCGCUAAACCAGAUGUCGCUAAAUUAGAUGUCGAUAAACUAGAUGUCGAUGAACUUGAUGUCUCUGCACAGCAAAAACCAAAGCCAAAGUUGACGAUCUCCCAAUAUCUCUAUGAAAUGUUUAUGGGCAAACGGAAAAACAAUAAUGAAAGUGGUCGCAGGAACAUCACCACCUACUCCGCGGUUAAUAAUCGAAACUCAAGGCUAGAUAAUCAUACUGGAAGUAAGAGUAAAAAAUCUUUUACACCAUAUGCUAGUAAAAAGGCAGUAGAAACUUUUAUUUCGCCGGAUCUGGCAAAACGACAGCUAGGUAAAGAAGAAAUACUUAAAGAGCGAAGAACUAAAUCCCAAGAAAAUAGACAUGGUGAGAAUGACAGGGAAUCACGUCACCGUUUCCAUGAUCAAUUUGAAGUGUCCUGUUCAAAGCAGCUGCUCCUGCCUGGCAUAUCAUCGCACCAAAAACUGACACUGACUCCUGAUAGUGAUAUUUUACGUGUGCAAAAAACAGAAUCAGAGGAGAAUUUGGUUAAUUUUACUGAUGACAUCAAUAGCACAAAAAUUCUUGGUGGCACUCCGUACAAAUGCGAGGACAAAAGCCUACGAGCAAAGCUUAAAAAUAAGAAGGAUAAAAGCGAAAUAGUGAUUAAAGGUGGAUCCAAAAAGUGCUUGGAGAAAGUGAAGGAUGUAAAGGAAAUCGAAGACGACGAGGAAUGUGGCAAGCGAAGUUUCGGCGCGUUGGGUCGGCAAUUAUUCCAAAACUUGCCGAAAGCCUGUAAACAACUCUGAUCAACAAUCUUUAUUGGCGCCACCUGGUAGUCCGCAGCAAAAUCAUUAAACAAAUCAGAUUUUGCCCGUCAUAUAAAAGGAUAUAUAAUAUAUAUAUAAACAGAUUAGCAGUUUAAAAACCGACUUAUUAGGCAUUCAAUGUCACACCGAGGAAAAUGACAGCAAUCAGAUGUAUAUUAUACAGUUGUUGUGUAGUUGAUAAUACGCUAUAAAUAAGCCUAGUGCAUAGACCAUUAGGUUAUUUAAUCGAAAAGAAACACUAAGCCGGCGACAACGAAUUUAAAAACGCUCAACAAUUGGAAUCAGGCCUGGAAGAGUUCAAUCCGCUAAGCAACAUAAAACAUUUUGAGACAAAUUUCACGUUUAUCAAAUUUUAGAUAUUUGUGAAGAAUAAUAAAAAGUUAAAAGUUGGA